GGGCUUGACAUCCCACGAACCUGGUGGAAACACCGGGGUGCCUUCGGGAGCCGCAAGACAGGUGCUGCAUGGCUGUCGUCAGCUCGUGUCGUGAGAUGUUGGGUUAAGUCCCGCAACGAGCGCAACCCUCACCCCUUGUUGCCACCAGGUAAAGCUGGGCACUCUAGGGGAACUGCCCCGGUCAACGGGGAGGAAGGCGGGGACGACGUCAAGUCAUCAUGCCCCUUACGUCCUGGGCUACACACGUGCUACAAUGGCCGGUACAGAGGGAUGCAAGACUGCGAGGUGGAGCUAAACCCAAAAAGCCGGUCUAAGUUCAGAUUGGAGUCUGCAACUCGACUCCAUGAAGGAGGAAUCGCUAGUAAUCGCGUAUCAGCACGACGCGGUGAAUACGUUCCCGGGCCUUGUACACACCGCCCGUCACACCACGAAAGCCGGCUGUACUCGAAGUCGCUGAG
rnacentral:rRNA from 1 species